CCUAUUUCCCCAACACCUCGGAACGGUAUAAAGGGCAGCCGCCAGUCUUGAACAGGACUGGCGGCUGCCCUUUUUUUCGAUG
rnacentral:sRNA from 1 species